AAAAAGCGUACAUUCCAUCUACAAAGUUAAUGCAAUGACAAACAAACAGUGGAUGCAAAUUAUUGAUUAAUAAAAAUCCAACCUUAAAAGAAGAAUUAUAUUCCGUCCCGGAGUUUUAUCUUCUGAGAUAAUAUUCCGUCCUGGAGUUUAUAUGGCAAAUCCUUGCUCACAUAACAGAAUGAAGUCUGUAGGUUGUGCAAUGCAACCGUCCCCGUCCUCAUUGCUUCAAAUCUCACCGAUUAAAAUGUCGGUGAUUAACUGAUUAUGCUGGCCAACGGACCUUAAUUGAUUAUUAUUUAUAAAGUUUUUAUCAAAACACUUUACAUUAUGUUUUUUUAAUAGGUUAUUUUCAUAACACCAAACUACGUGUCGUAUCCAAGCCAUGCAAUGAUGCCACACCACCAGCUUCUCAAGACCACUCAAGUUCUCUUACCACAAACACUUCAUUCUUUGUAGCUUUCAUUCCAUACAUCUUGUUCAAUUGAUCAUGGAUCUCAUCCACUAAUUCCUCAAUUUAGUUGCCCCUUUGUUUACGUUCUUAUCCUAUGCUUUUU
rnacentral:misc_RNA from 1 species